rnacentral:snRNA from 1 species
AUCUUUGCGCAGUGGCAGUAUCAUAGUCUAUGAGGUUCAUCCGAGACGCGAUUAUUGCUAGUUGAAAACUUUACCCAAUACCCCGCCUUGCUGACUUGAAAUAGUCGGCAAUGGCAAUUUUUGAUAGUCUCUCAGGAGA